rnacentral:lncRNA from 1 species
UUCCUGAGUGCUCCACUUGCCCACAGUGGCAGCUGGCUUGAUAAGACCCUUUUAUUGGCUGACUUCCCUUCCAGUCUCUCUUCCUAUGCUUCCUAGAUCACCUCCCAACUUUUUAUAUCCCAGUCUCUCGCCUUCCCAACAUCAUUUCUGAGAAUAGUUCCGUGUAAAGUUUGGGAAUGUGGGCCUGGAUCAUGUGCUCAUCCUUGACCAAUCAUUGUGGUCAGGUAGAUGAACUAUGUUAAUUGGUCAGGGUACCUAAGGGUAGGGCAGGUCGCCUCCAGACCCACACAUGGGUAAUAGGAGGGGAGCCUUGGUUCAUCCAGGAAAAAUCAAUCAAUGUGUUGUCACCGGAAAUGGGAGAAUGGAUGUUGAGCAGGCAGAAACAACACGUGUACAGCUCCACCGGCUUCCCUAUCAGUCCUUAGGCACUACAUUCAGAGGUCAUCAUUUUUUAUCUCCACUCAUAUUGGACUACAGCCUCAGUUUCAGAAGCACUGCUUCAUAUGUUUUCAGUCCACUCCAGUCAGUGUUUGAAUUAAUGGAAUCGUCACUAGGACCAUCUACACUUGAGGGACAGCCAAACACAAAGUAAGAUACAUGCCUGGUGGCUCAGAUUCAUUCAUUCAUCACUAUUUGUCAUACUCCUUUGUGCCAGGCACUAUUCUGAACACAGAGCAUUUAGUGGAACUUAGAGGUUAAUGGAAAUGACAGAUAUACAAAUAAUCAUACAGAAAUGCACAGAAAUUAUAGGGUUCUUUAAAACAGUAACACAAGGGGA